UGGGGAAUAUUGCACAAUGGAGGGAACUCUGAUGCAGCGACGCCGCGUGAGUGAUGAAGGAAUUCGUUUCGUAAAACUCUGUUCUAUGGGAAGAAAAGGACUGUACCAUAGGAGAAAGCUCUGGCUAAAUACGUGCCAGCAGCCGCGGUAAUACGUAUGGAGCGAGCGUUGUCCGGAAUUAUUGGGCGUAAAGGGUGCGCAGGCGGCUUUACAAGUUGGAUGUGAAAUAUUGUGGCUCAACCACAAACGUGCAUCCAAAACUGCAAAGCUUGAGUUAAGGAGAGGUAAGUGGAAUUCCUGGUGUGGCGGUGGAAUGCGUAGAUAUCAGGAGGAAUACCGGUGGCGAAGGCGACUUACUGGACUUAAACUGACGCUCAGGCACGAAAGCGUGGGGAGCAAACAGG
rnacentral:rRNA from 1 species